rnacentral:misc_RNA from 1 species
GAUGAAGAACGUAGCGAAAUGCGAUAAGUAGUGUGAAUUGCAGAAGUACCGUGAAUCAUCGAAUCUUUGAACGCAAAUUGCACUCUCUGGUAUUCCGGGGAGUAUGCCUGUUUGAGGGUCGCUUAACAAACCAUCGAUUUCGUUGCUUUUUUUUUUAAAGUGAUGUUUAUCGGAUUUGAGCCGUCUUUUUUUUUAUAUUUAAGUGGCUUAAAAUUGAUUUUUUUGGUACGAUCGAAGCGUAUUUUUAUGAUCAAUUUUUGGUUAAAGAAACGCACACGUACCGUUAUUUAUAUGAUGUAAUACGUUUGACUAUUGGAUUUAGUUCAUUCGUAUACGAUAUCUUUCAAUAUUUGACCUCAAAUCAGGUAAGAACACCCGCUGAACUUAAGCAUAUCAAUAAGCGGAGGA